GAAAAUUAUGCAAAUCGUUAUUGAUUUUCUUUGUUUGUCAUUUACUUGUAUAUAGAAAUUCGAAAUAGCCAUAAAUAUUGAACAUACGAAUUGACGCCUCGUAAAACGACAACUUACCAUUAACGACAUGCUGCUGCCUUAUGAGUUGGUGGAUGAAAUAUGUUCGAUGCGUUCCUCUCUUGAUCUCUGGUGGAUUAUUGGGCAAUUGUCGAUGCGGGCCACUGGCAUUGACCUUAGCAAUGACAUGGAUUAAUGUGAGUCAGAAGCUCCGUUGUGAGAAGAGGUUGUUGCGUCUUCACUUACCAAACAUAUAAAAGAAAGGUAGCGAGAAACCAAUAUGAGACUGUAUGCUGUAUUUAUUGGGAGAGUAGAGAUGCCACUGAAAAUCAUUUAAUAAUAUUUUAGCUCUAAGAAAUAACAAGUGAGUGAUCGACGGUGAGAUACCCAGUACCCAUUUCCAAUAAAAGCAAAACAUUGUAAAAGGGCGUUGAUCAUUAAAAUUUUUUAAUUUAUAUACCGACAAUACUAAAAUAUACCAAACCUAUAUUUGGUUUAUCAUACUACAUCAUUCAAAAUUGUCUAUGCAAAAAACCAAAAUAUACCAAGAGCUAUCUUUAAAAAUA